AAUUGGUAUAGGCCGAAUGGGGUGAUGAAGGCUGACUUGGGUAUAGCAUUUUCUGCCAGGGGAAUCUGCCAAUAUCCCUUACAUAGGUCAAUUGUGGUCAGAUACUUCCCUGCAGAGAUACGGUCAAGCAGUUCAUCCAUCCGUGGCAUUGGAUAGGCGUCGGUAACUGUCUUGUCAUUGAGCCGCCGGUAAUCUACACAGAAGC